rnacentral:rRNA from 1 species
AGCGAACGCUGGCGGCAGGCCUAACACAUGCAAGUCGAACGAACCUUUCGGGGAUAGUGGCGGACGGGUGAGUAACACGUGGGAACGUGCCUUUAGGUUCGGAAUAACUCAGGGAAACUUGUGCUAAUACCGAAUGUGCCCUUCGGGGGAAAGAUUUAUCGCCUUUAGAGCGGCCCGCGUCUGAUUAGCUAGUUGGUUGAGGUAAUGGCUCACCAAGGCGACGAUCAGUAGCUGGUCUGAGAGGAUGAUCAGCCACAUUGGGACUGAGACACGGCCCAAACUCCUACGGGAGGCAGCAGUGGGGAAUCUUGCGCAAUGGGCGAAAGCCUGACGCAGCCAUGCCGCGUGAAUGAUGAAGGUCUUAGGAUUGUAAAAUUCUUUCACCGGGGACGAUAAUGACGGUACCCGGAGAAGAAGCCCCGGCUAACUUCGUG